AGAAGACCCAUCCUUCAUACCGCUUCUCACAUUCAUACGUGCAGUAAUGGCGGCCAUGGUGGCGGUUAAUGGUCAUGUUAUAUAAAAUGGAGAAGAGAAAGUAUGCUCUGCAUAUGGGUGCCUGUUAUCAGAGUUCUGGUAUGGUGAGGAAGAAUUGGGAUAUCCUGCAAUUCAGAAAGUAGUGCGUCAGUGUCUUCGGAUGGCUGGAACGGAAUUUUCAAACUCCCAGAAUGCUGGGAGAAAUGUGUACAAAGAAG